GUUUAAACGUCACAGGCAAGUUAGAGAUCUUCCGUACUGAGAACCAAAUUCAUCCAGCAAGUGUGUUGUUGAUGUCACUAUGAGGAAGUGAGCAGGAAGUCAGUGCUGUAUUCAUCUUUGUUACUGCCUCACUUGUGAACGUGAGAGCAAGAGUAGAGACUGAGAGAGACGGAGAAGCACGAUGGCUGAGUUCAGAUGGAUUCAAAUGUUUCUGUUCCUGAUACUGACGCUUCAGUUUAAAGCAGUGACUGGACAACAUCGCCCCACAUUCCUGGUCAGACUUGGUGAUGAGGUCACUUUGCCUUGUCAAAAUGUGACAGUUGGUCAGCCUGAGUGUAACAGAACUGACUGGAUCUUCAGAUGUUUGAAUGUUGCUGACACAGUCAGGCUGAUUCAUCUUGGUUUGAUUGAAGAAAAGCACAAAAAUACAUCAGACAGACUGAGUGUUACAGCAAACUGCUCUCUGGUCAUAAAGAACAUCACAGUUCAUGAUGCUGGUCACUACACCUGCAGACACUACACAUCACAAGACCAACAACACUGUGGAAAAUCCUGUUCUUCUCUGUCCGUCAUCAACAUGACUGAAGAUGAGAACAAUGGUACAGUCAUCUUGUCCUGCUCUGUGUUGGAGUAUGAUCCAUGUACACACACAGUACAGUGGAUCUAUGAGGGUGAAGAGAAAUUCUCAGACAUGCAGAUAUCACCACCAGGCUGCACUGCCACUGUGACAUUUACAACAUCUCACCUUAAUCAGAAGUUUUUUGAGUCAUUAAAGUGUAAUGUGAUGAAUAUGAACAAUGGGAAAGUGCAGCUGUUUCCUUUCAGCCGUCAGUCCUCAGGUGGGACAACAGAUGGGGAUGAAUCAUCAGAUGGAGGUUCAUCAUUGCUGUAUAUUAUUGUUCUUGCAUGUUUAGUAGCACUCUUAAUUAUUGUAGCAUUCGUCAUAUGGAAGAAAAUGAAAGGGAAAAAAACACAAAGGGAAGACAAUGCUGUUGGUUUAAACACUGAAGGAUUAGGUUUAAACCCAGCUGAGAUUCAGUCUGAUCCAGGAAACAGUCAGGAGAUGGUGUCAUUCUGUUGUGUCCACUGUGUAGGAUGAUCUUGAGGAUGGUGUUAACUAUGCUUCCAUCAACUACACUAAGAAGGCCAACAGUAAGGCCAGUGCUCAGGUCCACGAUGAUGAAGGUACCACUGUGACAUACAGCACAGUGAAAGCUCCCUCAGCUUCUCUUGAAGUCUCCACUGAUCCCAGCAACCUGUAUUCCACCAUCACCAAAUAAGAUACUGUAUUUAAAGAUUACAUGUUUUAAUACUGUUAUUUGGAUCUUAUAUUUAGAGUUAUAUCGUCUACUUCAACAUUACAUGGGUAUACUGAAGGGUUUAUAAAAUAAAUCUAGUUUAUUUUACUGUCUAUUUUGUUUAUUUGUUGUUUAUGGUUUUGGAAAAUAAAUAAAUUAAUGAAUAAUUAA
ensembl:lncRNA